GCUUACACAUGCAAGUCGAGCGGUAACAUUUCUAGCUUGCUAGAAGAUGACGAGCGACGGACGGGUGAGUAACGCGUAGGAGUCUGCCUAGUAGUGGGGGACAACAUGUGGAAACGCAUGCUAAUACCGCAUACGCCCUAUGGGGGAAAGGAGGGGAUCUUCGGACCUUUCGCUAUUAGAUGAGCCUGCGUGAGAUUAGCUAGUUGGUGGGGUAAAGGCCUACCAAGGCGACGAUCUCUAGCUGGUCUGAGAGGAUGAUCAGCCACACUGGGACUGAGACACGGCCCAGACUCCUACGGGAGGCAGCAGUGGGGAAUAUUGGACAAUGGGCGCAAGCCUGAUCCAGCCAUGCCGCGUGUGUGAAGAAGGCCUUAGGGUUGUAAAGCACUUUCAGGAGUGAGGAAGGGCGUAUAGUUAAUACCUGUAUGUUUUGACGUUAACUCCAGAAGAAGCACCGGCUAACUCUGUGCCAGCAGCCGCGGUAAUACAGAGGGUGCGAGCGUUAAUCGGAAUUACUGGGCGUAAAGCGCGCGU
rnacentral:rRNA from 1 species